rnacentral:rRNA from 1 species
AUUUCUAAUGGGCGAAAGCCUGAAGGAGCGACGCCGCGUGGGGGAUGAAUGGCUUCGGCCCGUAAACCCCUGUCAUUUGCGAACAAGUUGUUUCACCCAACACGUGAAGCAUUGAUUGUAGCGGAAGAGGAAGGGACGGCUAACUCUGUGCCAGCAGCCGCGGUAAUACAGAGGUCCCAAGCGUUGUUCGGAUUCACUGGGCGUAAAGGGUGCGUAGGCGGCCAAGUAAGUUUGAUGUGAAAUCCCGCAGCUCAACUGCGGAACUGCAUUGAAUACUAUUUGGCUCGAGGAAUGGAGGGGAGACUGGAAUUCUCGGUGUAGCAGUGAAAUGCGUAGAUAUCGAGAGGAACACCAGUGGCGAAGGCGAGUCUCUGGACAUUUCCUGACGCUCAGGCACGAAAGCCAGGGGAGCAAACGGGAUUAGAUACCCCGGUAGUCCUGGCCUUAAACGGUGCGCAUUUGCUGUGAGCGGAAUCGACCCCGCUCGUGGCGAAGCUAACGCGUUAAAUGCGCCGCCUGGGAAGUACGGCCGCAAGGUUAAAACUCAAAAAAAUUGACGGA